GAUAAACGCUGGCGGCGUGCCUAACACAUGCAAGUCGAACGCCCUUAGCAAUAAGGGAGUGGCGGACGGGUGAGGAACACGUGGGUCACCUACCCUUUGGUGAGGAACACCGGCGAGAAAUCGCCGACAAUACCGCAUAUGCUUCGCAAGAAGCAAAGCUCGCAAGAGCGCCAGAGGAUGGGCCUGCGUCCGAUUAGCCAGUUGGUGGGGUAACGGCCUACCAAAGCGACGAUCGGUAGCUGGUCUGAGAGGACGAUCAGCCACACUGGGAUUGAGAACGGCCCAGACUCCUACGGGGGGCAGCAGUGAGGAAUUUUCGGCAAUGGGGGAAACCCUGACCGAGCAACGCCGCGUGCAGGAUGACGGCCUUCGGGUUGUAAACUGCUUUUCUUUGGGACGAGAUCGGACGGUACCAGAGGAACAAGCCCCGGCUAACUAUGUGCCAGCAGCCGCGGUAAAAC
rnacentral:rRNA from 1 species